rnacentral:rRNA from 1 species
CCUACGGGUGGCAGCAGUGGGGAAUUUUGGACAAUGGGCGCAAGCCUGAUCCAGCCAUGCCGCGUGCGGGAAGAAGGCCUUCGGGUUGUAAACCGCUUUUGUGGAAAGUGCGGUACCUGAAGAAUAAGCACCGGCUAACUACGUGCCAGCAGCCGCGGUAAUACGUAGGGUGCAAGCGUUAAUCGGAAUUACUGGGCGUAAAGCGUGCGCAGGCGGCUUUGCAAGACAGAUGUGAAAUCCCCGGGCUUAACCUGGGAACUGCAUUUGUGACUGCAUGGCUCGAGUGCGGCAGAGGGGGAUGGAAUUCCGCGUGUAGCAGUGAAAUGCGUAGAUAUGCGGAGGAACACCGAUGGCGAAGGCAAUCCCCUGGGCCUGACUGACGCUCAUGCACGAAAGCGUGGGGAGCAAACAGGAUUAGAUACCCUUGUAGUC